GAAUGUGUAGCAUGUACAACUGAGUGUUGAAAGAAGACAAAAUCUUCUUCAUCACAAAGAAUACGUGCUCAUUAAGAAUCAGAAUGUUCAAUUGUGUGAAGAUGGGAGAUGGAGAGAUUGGUAUUAUGGCCUUGGAUCCAGAAAUCAGUCCUCCACUACGUAAAUGGGAAUUAAAAGAUGAUCAGAAGACAGUUGGGAGCAGAGUGAGAAUAAGAACCUUCAAUUGCCGUCUCAUCUUUCAGAUCACGAAGAAGUUUUUCACAAUGAGCAGAACACUCAACCUGAAAGCAGAAUGGAUUGAGUCACUGCAGCGUGGCAGUGGAAUGGUGCUUGAUGUUGGCAAAGGAAACAUGUACUUCUAGACUUGACACUUUUCCCUUAGUUUAUAGUUUCCAAAUAGAAACAUCACUUUAAAAUAACAUGGAGAAUAUACAUGGAUGUACUGAACGAAGAAUAAAGUCUGUGUUGC